rnacentral:rRNA from 1 species
CAAGCCCUGGAAACGGGGUCUAAUACCGGAUGGGACUGCCGGCCGCAUGGUCUGGUGGUGGAAAGCUCCGGCGGUACAGGAUGAGCUCGCGGCCUAUCAGCUUGUUGGUGGGGUGAUGGCCUACCAAGGCGACGACGGGUAGCCGGCCUGAGAGGGCGACCGGCCACACUGGGACUGAGACACGGCCCAGACUCCUACGGGAGGCAGCAGUGGGGAAUAUUGCACAAUGGGCGCAAGCCUGAUGCAGCGACGCCGCGUGAGGGAUGACGGCCUUCGGGUUGUAAACCUCUUUCAGCAGGGAAGAAGCCUUUAAAAGUGACGGUACCUGCAGAAGAAGCACCGGCUAACUACGUGCCAGCAGCCGCGGUAAUACGUAGGGUGCAAGCGUUGUCCGGAAUUAUUGGGCGUAAAGAGCUCGUAGGCGGCGUGUCGCGUCGGAUGUGAAAGCCCGGGGCUUAACCCCGGGUUGGCAUUCGAUACGGGCAGGCUAGAGUUCGGUAGGGGAGAUCGGAAUUCCUGG